UACUUUUGGAGACACUGCAGAUCCUGUUUUAGUUUGGAAAUUCAGUGUAGACAGAAGGAAAUUCAGACUUGAAAGAAAAUGAAGCUGUGGAUGCACACAUUUAUUCCUUAUAUAAUAUUGCAACUGUCCAGAUGUGCAAAUUGCACCAUAGGCUUCGAGUUUCUCUUUGGAUGUCAGUGAUCGGGGAGUCAAGGCUUAAUGGUUAAAGAGUCAGACUCGUGACCAGAAGGUUGCUGGUUUGAUUCUCAGGGCCAGCGGGUAACGACCGAGGUGCCCUUGAGCAAGGCAAUAUACUGUACCCCUACUUGCUACCCGGGCGCUGCAGUGAUAGCUGCCCACUGCUCCAGGUGUAUGUGUGUUCACGUCUUGCUGUACAUGUGUUCACUACUCUCUGGAUGGGUUAAAUGAAGAGGUCACAUUUCGGGUAUGGGUCACCAUUUCUGACAAAUUGGUAACUUUCACUUCACUUCAUUUAAAUCAAUGGUUCUCCAGCUUUUUCACUGUAAAAAGCUUGAGGGUCCCCCCUUGUAUGGUCCCCAAUGCUUUGUGCCCCCCCCAAAUAAAGACUUAUGAUCUUUAACUUAGAAUUUUUUUAAACCAAAGACAUAUGCAAUUAUUCUACAAUGCUGGAACAUCAAUUCUUUAGGUUGGUGGUCAUAUUUUUUUUAUGUUUGAUUGCAAAAUAAUGUAUGAUACAUCUCUAUAUUUCAUACAAUUUGUAAUCAACACAUUCACAGCGCACACCCAUAUCAUAAGCAGCACAGACCUUUCUCUGUAAUAUAAAAAAAGCAAAAAGUAAAUAAAAAAGUACAGACAAGUUUGUAUUGUACUUUUAUCCCCUGCUUAAGUAAAGAAAGCAGUGGUUCCCAAACCUGUUCCGGGGGACCCACUGCUCUGAGCUGAAAUGAGUCGAAAGACUUAUCACAACAGACUGGGGUGGCAUGCAAAUUGAAGCGCUGUGGUGCUUCAAUCAAAUCGUUUAGGGAUCUUUAGGGAUCUAGAGAGAUUAGGUGAUAUUAGAUUCAUAUUGUGAGAAAAUGGCAGCAGUUUUUUAACCUUGGAUGCAUACAAGCGUGUUGGUGGGGACCCCAAUACAAUAUCAGAAUACUCAUAAAUGCCUUGCCACCCGCUCUUAACUGUUACGCUGGGCUGGAGUUAGUGGGCAGAAGAAAGUAGUCCCCCAGUACACACUUGUGCCGUCGAACUGCUGUUAUCUCAAACUUGUGGCAUUGACCUGAAUAUAUCUACUUCAUUCACACACAAUUUUAAGCAAUAUAUUAAUGCAACAUUGUUCCCGUAGUCGUGUUAUAUGGCUCUAUAUCAGCAUGGCAGUAAUUGUCUCCUGUUCUCGGCCUGCGGCCUUGUGCGUCUAGCCUACUCACAGCCAUGCUCAUAUAGAACUACAUUAUCACAUUAUUGACCAUUAUAUGUUUUCUCAAGAAUUGCUGAGUUUAAUUUAUACCAAUAAAAGCAGUAUUAAACAUAAAUGCACUUGACUAAACAGUCUCUGGUGAUCCUCACCUUUAUCAGUAGUCCAGAUAUUUACCAGAAGUGCAUAGAUGUAGCAGCGGCUGCAGCGACAGAAAAACAAAGUCAGGGCUCUAGUCUAACAUUUGAGAUUCAAUAGUUGGUCGCACCAGAGUCGUGGGGUGAGGCAAGUAAAAGGAAACACUGAAACUGCAUUCAAACUUGUUUAAUACAUAACUAAUUAAUUACAAAUUAAAUCAAAUCAUUAUUGUUUAUACAUACACUUAAAUUACUGUAUGCUUUGCCAAGCUCUAAACAUAUUGUCUGGACUUGUUUUUUGGUCACUUCUGGGCCUUUUAAAUUUAUUUGAUUAAAUCGUCUCAUGUCUUUUGUUUGAGAGAAGACCUAAGGAUAUUUUCUACUGGCCUUGGCAAAAAUAAAUGUAAUAAAGCAAACAUACAAAUGAAAUAAUUAGGGCCAGGUGUUUCAUGAAGGUUUGAAACAGAAACUCAAUGAAGAAAUCAAAUGUAAUGUAAAUGCACUUUAUACUCUUCACUGUACAAAUUAAGUAUAUAUUAAAGCUUAUUUAGGUUACUUAGGUUAAUAUGUCAGGAGCUGUGUGUUUUGUUUGUCUUAAUUUAGAUUAAUCGUGAUUUUCACUAAAUAUUGCUUAAAUCUACCCGAUUUGUGCAAUCAUUGUGAUAUCGCAGCGGUUUUGAUCAUGUGUUAGUGAGCAGCUUGUCUGGGAAGCACGGCUCUAUGAUCAGUACAAAGUGCUACCCCUUCUGAAAUCACUAUGAGUUUGGGGAAGGGGAGACUAUUAUGCAUUCUGACUUUUUUACACUGUUAAACGUGUUGGCUUCUCAUGCUUAACAUGGUCAUCUUGUUCAAAAACGAGUUGGACUUAUGACGUAGUAUUUCUGUGGUUGAUACACUCCCCCAGCACUCAGGAAAGUCUUAUAUACAUCUGGAUCCCUGUUUCGUAACAUGUUUCUCUGAUUCUAACAGUCAGGACAACUUUUUGCUACCUCAUCUAUCUCUUCAUCUAAUCUCAGCGGUGGGGGUGUAAUGACGCGAUAAGCCCACAAUAGUCAGCCAGAUUGUACAGUCAGAUAAUUUUGUCGAAUAAGGUAGGGUUUGUGUUUGUCUAACAUUUUCCCUCUCUUACCCUGAGAAAUCAAGGCUAUCACUUCUGACAGGACAGGGUCAGUUCAUGCGAAUCGGUUGACUUGCACAGCAGUAAGAGGUGGACUCUGUACUUCUUUGAAGUAAAAGAUCUCAGCUUGUUAACAUUCUGGAGGUGAGUCUGGCAGAGCCCGUCUGGACAGUCCAUCUGUGUUACAGUGCUGCUCAAAUCACUUGUAUGUGAUGUGGUACUGAUGAGAGAGGGAAUACAUGUUUGAAGUGGUCUGUGAGCAGCGUAAAUCUGUCGAUGUCAUGUCCUAGGUAUUCAAUGGUUGGGCUAAAUAAUUCACAUAUGUCUAUCUUUACCCGAAGGCCGUACUCUUUUAACUUCUGUAAUGUUGCAUUAGGGUUUCUGAGAUUAUCUUCACCAUCUUUCCCAGUGAUCAGUAGGUCAUCGAGAUCUGUACUCCAUUUAAGCCACUCAGGAUCUGGUCCAUGGUCAGGACAGGGUUGAUAGUGACCUUAAAAUCACCACAAAUUCUGACAGAUCCAUCCUUCUUCAGGAACAAUUGGUGUUCCCCAUUCGCUAACACUCACUUUCUUUAACACUCCUGCUUUUUCCAGAAAAUCAAAUUACGUCUCCGCCUUUAGCUUAAUUGCAUAUGGAGAAGGGCGGGCCUUUAAGCAUUUAGAUUUACUGUCCGACAUAAUGGACAGCUUUUCCAGUAAUAACUUUCUUUCAUGCUGCCAAGUUUUUCUGAAAAUACCUCUGCAUGCUUCCUCAGGAAGAGGAAGUUAACUGACUCAAUUAAAUGCCAAUUUGGCUUUAUUUUCUCUAGUCAUGAUCGGCCCAUUAGUGCUGUGUGGCUAUUACCUUUCACGACAUAGAGUGGCAGUUUUACCUUCUGUUUCUUCAGCUCAACAGUCAAACCACAACUCCUAGAAGAGGUACAAGCUCUCCUGUGUAUGUCUUUAAAGUCAUCUUAGCCUCUCUGGGAGACAGAUAUGGCCAGUUCUUGGUAAGUUGAUUAUGCCAUGAGCAAAACAGCUGCUCCAGUGUCCAGUUGCAUGGGAAUGCACUUUCCAUCUAGCAGUGACGUCACCCAGAAUCCCGCAGAAUUUGAAGACGCAGACAUUACAUGUGUAAAUUGAAUCCUCUUGAUGUCUUGUUUCGUUUUCUACCUGUCAACUUUGUGGACUUGGAUAGAAGUACUUAACCCUUGACCUCUUUUGCAGCCUUUUCCAUAGAAACACUGAUUUCCAUUGCACGCUCCAGUAUCAGAUAACUUUCAUAUAAAAUACGUUUUUGAAUGGUCUCACUGCGCAGUCUGUACACAAAUCUGUCUCUUAUAGUGUCAUUCUGUGUUGCUCCAAACUCGCAGUGUUCAGAGAGGCGUUUCAAUAGCGCAACAAAUUGUGCAAUUGAUUCUCCCUCUAACUGGUUACAUUUAUGGAAGCGAAAUCUUUCUCCAGUGAUGAGUGCUUUUUGGUGCAUAAUGUACUUUGAGCAAUAUUACAAUUUCCUUGAAUGAGCAAUCACCAGGCUUAUUAGGCUGGUCCAAGCUACGCAGUAGAUUAUAUAUUUUGCCGCCCAUUACACUCAUAAAGGUCGGCAAGAGAACUUCAUCUUUUAUCCCGUUAGCCUUGACAAAACACUCAAACCGCUCUGUGUACGAACUCCAUUGCUCAAUACUUUCAUCAUAUUGUCCAAUUCCCCCAACUAAACCAGCCAUCUCUCUCUCAAUGUACUUUCCCACUCGCGGUUUUGUUGUUUCCUCUUCGAUCACAUUUUGGAUUGACUUUCUGGCGUGAGGCAGUUUACUCUUUUCCUUUACUUUUAUUCUACUAGAGCGAGUUUUACCCACACAUUCUGUGCCUCGGAUGCACAUGUGGAUUAUCAAUAAUGUGUGCCAAAUUCUGUCUAACUCACCCAGCAGUGUCGCGCAAGUAAAUUGCGUUGAUCCUCGUCGACAUUUUUGUUAGGUCGCUGGUAAAGUAUCAGUCAAUAUGAUAAAGACACGGUGUCAUAACUUCAUGUAACUUUUUACUGGUUUCAGUUUGCAAGCACAACACUUCUACACAGCACAUUCGCUUAACACACAUCUGGGAUUACACAGGUCUCUUAAAGGAAUAGAAAACAAUAUAGUGCGAAACAUACACAACACCGAGAACACAUUGAUGAAGAGGAAUCAAGGGCUCCAUCCGAAAUCGCCUACUUCCAUACUAUAUAGCAGGCCAAAAUGAGUAUGAGUCAUGAAUAGUAUGUCCGAAAACUCAGUGUGCAAAAAACAGUAGGUGAGAAACACUGGAUGGUCUACUACUCUGCAAAGAUUUGUGUAUAUGGAUGGACACUUAUCUAUCCCAUUAUGCCACGGGAGCUGAGCAACGGUUACAUUUAAAAAAUAAAUCAAAUACAUCUAGCGGAAAACUUCAAGGCGGACUUUUGUUUCUAAUGUAAAUGCUGUGCAAAAAGUUCUUUACUGCUUUUACGUUUCAUGUGUCGUUUGUCUUAGCGUGUUAUGCGCUAGUUAGUUGUUGUGUUUCCCCUUUUAGUAUAGUCUAUAAACUUUACUAAAAAGGAAAGUAAUAUUUCUUAGAUUUGAUAUAAGAUCUGCUGAUCACUUGGUGGACAGGUGAAUUAAGUUUGUCGCUAUUAUUAGGUCUGCUGAAUCCGAUAAAGUGUAUAAAAUAGGUAUGGUUAAUCAACAUUAAUUAUACGUAUUUUACUGUGAUCAAACUCAUAGUUCCCCGAAAUACACUACAGUAGUAACAAUGUUUUUUUGGUGCAUUGAUUACAUGGGGCAAGACAAGGGUUUUUGUUUGAUAACCAUUGUAACUCAGUGCUCCAGAUUUACUUUUACAUUAGCAUAUAAAUAACAUUUCCAAUUAAAACAAUUAACCUGAAAAUAAGAAUGUAGUUCAUUUCUUCUAAGAAACAAUCAUUGUAAGCCCAGCAGUCACACAUCGAUUACAAAAUUAACAUUUGUGAUUCAACCGAGUAAACAACCCAGAAACUAAUGACCUUUUUAUUAGCAUGUUAGCACCAUAUUAGCCCUUAAAUGCUAAGUUAGCUAACAAUCACGUUAAACAUUUCACAAAAAACUAUCCUCACCUGAUGAUCAUGGUGCGAAAUAUUAUGAAUCCAUGAAACAAUGUAAUAUUGUCUUAAUGAAGUUUACUUGUAUGUUUAUUUAAUUGUGUAUAUGUUUAUGGCGAGGUUUCGGACCACUGCUGUGGUUGUACCCCUUCUAGCAACAACCGGUUACUUUCGGUUUCUACGGAAGUUCAAAAGCGCGAGCGUCACGUGAUUCAAACUGCUGAAAUCGCAUCAUGUGACAGUAUGUACCGAAUUUGAAUAAGUAACUAACUUUCGGCCUUUAAAACAGUGCGUUCUAUAUAGUAUGAGUGGGAGUGCAUUUCGGACAUAAUAGUCUUGUUCGAGUUGACCCAUACUAGCCUCUUGCCACCGACUGGCAAGACCAGCCGGUUGCAUCCGGGGGAGGAGUAAAACGGCCGUCAGGUCGGACACUUUUCCAGUAGGGAGCUGCAGCAAACUAAGGGAUAUUCAUUUCUUUAUCAGGGAUUAAUUGAACAUGAUAGGAAUACCUGAUUAUAUGAAUUAAGAUCACUACAAUAAACAUAAAAUAUUACACAAAAAUCUAAUUUGUGAGAAUACUCGUAACCGAGUGUGUCAGAAUAUGAAUAACAUAAACACACAUAAUCAGAUUAAAGUGUGUCGUCAUCAAGGCUUUCACAGCCGAUUUUGAGCAACUGUAGCGUCUGACCUUGGCGAAUGGUCUCGUUUUGCUCUCGCGGUACUUUAAUGGCACAUUUGAUCUUAAGGCGGCUGCAGCGCCGAUCAAAGUUGGACAAAUUGUCUAACCAGAAAGCAUUGCUGUUGUCAGAAGGCUACAGAUUUUUACGCCGCCGCAUGAUGUCGAAAACAAGCCUUCUGCGUUCGCCAUGUUUUAUAGUCAUGUGACCUGUAUGCUCUUUGACCGAUGGUGUAUCAACAACCUAUACGUGAGCGUCAAUAAAAAUAUAAUUUUGUCACGAGAAAUUCAUUUAUUGGCACUAACAAUACAUAAAAAACGGAUGUCCGCCUUAAAGUUUUCCGGCAUAUUUAUUUGAUUUACUUUCGAAAUUUGACCAUUGCUCAGCUCCCGUGGCAUCGUCAGAUAGAGAAGUCCAGAGAAGUCCACAAAAACUGAGAAAGACAAAGAUGCUUUUAAAAAAGUUGGGUUGUUCUCGUGGAAAUUGUCAGGCUUUAAUAAAAUGUUAUAGUUUUAAACAUUAUUGAUCAAUUGAUGACUGUUCUGAGUGCUCCGGCUAGCCAAUGCACAAGUAUUGAGAGAAAAUAAACUAACUUAUUUCACUGACAAACACACUGAGAUCAACACUCUUCAUACAACCCUCAACAAUGGUGACAAUCGUCAUAAUAAUUCAGAUAAACGGAUCAACUGCAAUGCAUGCUGGGAGUCAUGAAUGAGUUUUGUACUAUGUUGAUACCCAGCAUGCAUUGCAGCAUGAAGCUUUCUUUUGUUGCUUGUCAUUGUUGAGUUUCAUAUGCAGAUUCUUGAUGUCUUUGUGUGUUAAAGUGGUUUACCAGAUAGUGAUUAUGUUAAUUCUUAAAAAAAUCACGGUACAUCAAACUACAGAUUAAAAGAGCUGACGUAUUGAUAAAACAAACCCAAUUAUUAAAAGUGAUCCAAACAAUUUCAAAAUGUAUAAAUUACCAUUCAGAAGUCAUCAACUCUUUGCCACAACUAUUGUAGUUUAACACACAGUUAUGGCUAAAGGAAACCUAAUUUAACAUUCAAAUAUGAGAGCCAAGAGCUCAACUAAAGCUUAAAAAGAUCACAAUAAUGGUGAUUUUUGCAGGUUCAAAAUUAAUACUGAUUCAAUUCAAUGAACAUUGAAAAAUCAUCAAUUUUUUUCAAUCAAUGGUUGCUUGUUUUCUUACUGCAUUCAAAUCAUUCAACUCAGUUUAUUUCAAAGAGUCUCACUUAAUUUAUUUACAUAUGUAAAUUGAAACUAGUCUGAUUAACUCGAAAUUACAACCAGUUUUUACUUUGUACAGACUGGACAUCAAUAUUAGACAACAAAAAUAGGAGACACCUGCAUGCAAAGCCGUAGAAACAACUACAUUUUUGGCCAAAAAGGGACAUCUUUUCAUGGAUUUAUUACUUUUGAAUGGGACUUGAGUUGCAUAAAUCCAAUUCCGAACAUGUUCAAGUACGAGUCGAGGCCGAGUCAAAAUGCACACAAGUCCAUGACAGUCCGGACGCAGUGCUUUCUCUCUCUCCCUGUUUUCCAACUGGGAUAUAUCGCCCUCUGAAGGGCCCUUUGGAGUGACAACAAUCAUGGCCAUCAUACUAAAGGGUCGUUCGAAACCGAAGUGCUCUUACAGUAACUGGCCACUUCAAAGGGCCUUUCAGAAUAUAGAUUUCGAAGGGUACAACUGAUGGUCACUUCGGGCUCCCAUGAUUCUUUGCGCAGAUUCUUUGCGUGGUGACGCCGCCUCCACUUCAAGAAACAGCCUCAUUAUUAACCUUGACUGGCAUCUAUUGUAUAGAUCUACCUUUCUUCCAAAAUACACUUUGUAGUGCACUAAUCAGUCAUUUUUGUUCUAAAUAAUAUGAUCUACAAACUAUUAUCUUUUUCCUAACAGCUUUUUCUUAUAAUUUCCAAGACUUCAACUGGUAACUGUCUAAACAUAACAUAGCAAAGUUGAUCUUGCCCUGGCGCGGUAUAGCUGCUUUUUUGUUAAUCCACUUUAAACUAGGAAAAGAAGAUUCCCUUUCACGGUGCUUUUACAAAUCUCACAGUUUUCAACAGUCACAAUAAGUUUAUAACUUUAUUUGAACCAGAUAUUAUUUGAUUACAGUAAAUAUUAUAGAACCAAACUACCGCAAAUGUAUAUGUGUAAAACAUCUCUUUCAUUAGGCUUCCUCAAUUUAUACAUUUAUUAUACACAAUUUCAAGCACUGAAAGAAAAUUAAAUUUAAUGAAAGUCAUGAACCCAACUAAAUCAAACACUCAAAAUAAUGGUGAUUUGUUGAAAAAUUUAUUUUUUUAUUUAUUGCGGAUUGUAAAGAUUUUAUUGAUUCAAUGUAAUUAAAAUUGACCAAUCAACAAUCAAUUCCUCAUCAAUUCCUAAAAGGAAUUUAUAUUUAACAUACAUUUGACAAUACAUUUUCUAGAGAAUACAUUAUAAUAUAGUCACUGGAAAUGAAAGAUAAACACGUUUCCACCACUUCUUAGUUGAACUGUAGCUGAUUUUUUUUUUGAAUUUGCUUUAGUCGAUUAGUUUUGCAUUAAAUGCAAUGUUAUUUUUGCAUAACGAUGCUAAUUCAUUGCAAUAGAGCAUAAAAAGAUGAUCCACAGAUUAAUGCGCAACAUUAAUGACAUGUAUGGACUGCGAGCCUUUUAUCUUGCACACACAGAAGUUUGUAUAAUUUUGAUUAUGAAAAAUCGUUUUUACAAGAAACAGGUUAACAAUACACACGCGCUGCCCGUGAGCAGGGCUGAGUUCACCCCCGACAAAACGGAAACGGUGGUGCUGUUGAACACACUUUUGUGAUGACGCAAGAGUUGAAAUAUGGCAGCUGAGAAGACCAUUCUUUCUGUCCUUUUUGAAGAAUUUUUAAGUUUUUAAAAUACGAGUUGAAUACUGCAAAAUACAUCUCUUCUCAUAUCUUCAAUAGUUGCAUAUACCGAGCCGCAGCGGACACAUUUGAAUAUCUUAACUUGGUGUACAAUGUAAUGUUGACACUGAAAUGUGUUAUUAUUAUCAUUUUCCAAGCACAACCGAACACAACAUAUGCUGAAAGAAGCAAGCCAACAUGGGGCUGCUGCUCAGUAUAAUAUAUUAAGCCUUGGAUACUCACACAAGGACGAAACUUAACAAUUAAACUAAAUCAAUUAAAGCAAUUCAUGUAAUAGAUAAAUGGAAAUCUUGCUGCUCUCAACCCUGGUCCGGGCAAACUUCCCAGUAGGCACCAAUCAGAGGCCACAUUUUUAUGUUGUCAUCACGUAGACUUCUUACAAAGUAUUUUGAAACUACAAAAAAUACAAACACUGAAGUAUUUUGAUGCAACAUAUGAAGCCAUUUUCAUUAACACAAUCAAAUACAAAUUACAAAAUACUAUUUUGUAUUUAAAAUACGUAUUUUAAAUACAUGUAUCAUAAAUACUGACCAGCCCUGCUUAUUUCCUGCUGUGAACACUCCAGUCUCUUCAAGGUGGAUAACACAAAUAAAACACAGGUUAUAUUGGUAGAUUUAUGUUCUUCCGUUUAAUUUUUGGAAGCAUCGGCAUCAGGCACAACAGUCGCCUAACACACACUCAAACUGCCUUAAAGGGGCAGUUGCACAAAAUAGCUUUUUAACAAAAACAUAUUAAACUAGAGUUCAACAUACAUUUAUUUUCUUGAAUAAAAUAGAGAAUAAACAAAGAGUAUAAUUAUAUAGUGAAUUAACAAAACUAAGGUUACUUAAUCAUAUAUUUUGGUACGAUUCACAUACUACAGAUUUAUACAAAUUAGCCACCUUGUUGAAUAUUUAUAACUUUUUAAUUAACAACAUUAGGGAAACAGACUCAUGACAAACAGUGGAUACAAAAGGAAAACAAUAUUCUUUACAUAAUCAGUGAUUUUAUUGAUGGUGUAUUCUGUGUAAGAAAGGAGAGGACAAUGUGGUCAGAGCAAAACUGACUUUGACUUCCUCUUUAAGAGGACAGUGUCUUACUAUGAGAGCUCUACAGUUCAGAUCGUCUUAAAUACUGUGUGAAGUGAACAACAUGAGGAUUAUUCACAUUCAGAUUUGUGAGUUUAUUACAUAUUAUGAGUAUCUCUAUUGAUAUAUGUUUAUAGACUUAUACCCAUGUUGUUUUUGCUUUUAAAUGAAUUUUCUUAUAUUGUUUUAUAUUAUCUUAUAGAUAUGUUAAUGUGGUGUAAAGCUACAGAGACUUUAGAUCAACUGACUUCUUUGGGACAAAAUGUGACUAUAAACUGUGAUCUGGAUUCUAGUGCGGUUUAUUGGAUUUUAUUGAAACAAUCUGAUUCUACAGUGAUACUGCAGUCAUUCUUAAACCCACCGAUAGCUUUUCACUUCAAUAACACAUUCAAAAAUAAAUAUUCAGUACAAUCUAAACAUCGUCUGGUCAUAUAUAAUGUCACUAAUGACGAGUUAGGAGUUUAUUACUGUAUGAACAUGGAUAAACCUCCAAAAGUCAGUAACAGCACACGACUGCACAUCAUGGGUAAGUAAUAUUUAAUUGUACCUCGAUUGCUUCACCCAUGUGAUAGAUAUGUUGUAAAUACUCAAAAUACGCAAAAUUGCAGUUUGAUAUUGUGCAUAAGUCGAGCUGACUGCAGUAACACAACACAUUUUAGAAACAACUCGUCUACAUUAGGUUGAAUAAUCACAAUGAUUUUAUAGAGAUCAGUAAAAAGGAAAACUGGACACUUUGGAAGACUUUCAGCCUCUUAUCUGGUCUGUUAAAUGCGGUUCUGAUCAUAACAGUUGUGGGUAAGUACAUGUAGUGUGGUGCUAUUUGUAAAAAUAUGAUUGCUGUUCUCUAGAUAGAUGAGGUUGUAAAUCCACAACCUUUAGUAUAUAAAUGGCAUUACUUAAUGGCUUUUUAUAAGAUUUUAAACACACACUUGUUUAAUAGUGCAAUGAGUAUAGAACAGUCUGAUAAACAUAAAGCCAAUUCGUUUAGCCAAUAGUAUUGAACAAAUGCAAUAACACCUUGUUUUCUAUUAUCACAUAAUUUAUGUGUUUAUAUAAGUCAGAUCAUCCUGUUAUUACUUUUGUAACUACUAUCUGUACGCGUUUGUAUUUUCUGUUAAGCUCCUUGGCAGCAGUGCAAAAGAAAAGUACCAUUGAAACAAAUCUGUACAAAAAAUAUAAUUAUUAUGCUACUGUUGUUUAUGGCCUAAUAUAAAAGCCUACAUAGAAGUUUUAUAGUUUCAAAAUACUGUAGCUUUCCUGUAGCUCAGUGGUAAGAGCAUUGCGUUAACAAUGCGAGGUUGUGGGUUCGAUCCCAGGGGAUUGCAAAUACCUAUGUAAAAUGUAUAGGAUAAAGCAAUGUAAGUCGCUUUGGAUAAAAGCGUCUGCCAAAUGCCUAAAUGUAAAUGUAAAUGUAAUUAGUCAAGGGAAAUUAUUUCGUUGGUAAAACCCCUGAGCUGUGCAUCAGUUACAGCACUAAUAAUACAUAUAUACAUCCAGUUUUUGUAAAACAUUCAUACAUAAAAUCCUUUGUGUUCAAAAAAGUUUAUGAAUGUUGUAGCCUGUGGCCACGUGGACAGUGCUCCACCUUGUAGUGCAACAGGUCUUCAGACGACCCAAGUUUGAGUCCACUGUGUUACACUUAGAGCUAAUAAAAGUAUAUUUAUUGGAUAGUUGGAUGUUGGACAAAAUCUGGAAAAAGCUCAGGACAAUGUCAUAACACUGACCUACAGCAGACACAAGUUACAGAACAGCAUCAGGAUACAAAUCAAGUGAAGUAUGCAGCGGUGGACUUUACCAAAAUGCAUAAAAAUGUCCGUCCCAGCAAAGACAACAGCACCUAUACUGCUUGCACCUAUGCUGCUAUAAAGCUGCCAAGGCCAAAACCACAGGAAUAUAAAUGACAUCAUAUUUAUUUCCAGUACAAAAAUAUUAACUGCUACACAAGUGUAUAACCAUUAAGAUAUUUUGACUUUUUUUGGAAUGAAGAAUAUUGAGUUUGUUUGAAGUAUUUUACCUUUUUGUUGUUGACUUAAUUUAGACAGCAUAUCUAAUGUAUGAAGUGAGUUAUCAAUGAUAAAAAUGCCUUGUUAACUGUACAAUGAUUUUAUUUGCCAUUCUGGAUUUAGGAACCAUGAACCAGUACAAUGCUCAGAUUUUGCUGAUAAUAAACUUUUAAAAACUAUAAUCAACUUUUUUAGAUCAUAUAUGUUUGUUUUAAAGCAGUUUGAAAAGUGUUUUUGCAUGUCAAGCUAUAUACACAUGGAUGCUGCUUUUGCAUUUACUAAGGUGCAUGUACAGUACAUGAAUAGUUUGUUUUACAUUGCACAAGCAUUUAAAACAUUGUUCAAACACUUUCCAAUAAAGAUAUGUGAAGUUUA